rnacentral:tRNA from 1 species
UGCACUGGUAGCUCAGUACCAGAGCGCCGGCCUUGUAAGCCGGCGGCCGGAGGUUAAAGUCCUCCCCAUUGCUC